rnacentral:rRNA from 1 species
GCUACGGGAGGCUGCAGUGGGGGAUAUUGGACAAUGGGGGAAACCCUGAUCCAGCGACGCCGCGUGAGUGAAGAAGUAUUUCGGUAUGUAAAGCUCUAUCGGCAGGGAAGAAAGAAAUGACGGUACCUGAGUAAGAAGCCCCGGCUAACUACGUGCCAGCAGCCGCGGUAAUACGUAGGGAGCAAGCGGUAUUCGGAAUUACUGGGGGUAAAGGGAGCGUAGCCGGUAAUGCAAGUCUGGAGUGAAAGGCGGGGGCCCACCCCCCGGGCUGCUCUGGAAACUGGGUAACUGGAGUGCAGGAGAGGCAGGCGGAAUUCCUAGUGUAGCGGUGAAAUGCGUAGAUAUUAGGAGGAACACCAGUGGCGAAGGCGGCCUACUGGACUGUAACUGACAUUGAUGCUCGAAAGUGUGGGUAUCAAACAGGAUUAGAUACCCCUGUAGUC